rnacentral:rRNA from 1 species
GACGUAGGGCGCGAGCGUUGUCCGGAUUUAUUGGGCGUAAAGAGCUCGUAGGCGGCUCGUUGCGUCGGCUGUGAAAACCCGCAGCUCAACUGUGGGCUUGCAGCUGAUACGGGCGGGCUGGAGUUCGGUAGGGGAGACUGGAAUUCCUGGUGUAGCGGUGAAAUGCGCAGAUAUCAGGAGGAACACCGAUGGCGAAGGCAGGUCUCUGGGCCGAUACUGACGCUGAGGAGCGAAGGUCAGGGGAGCAAACGGG